rnacentral:rRNA from 1 species
GAUGAACGCUGGCGGCGUGCCUAAUACAUGCAAGUCGAGCGAACGGACGAGAAGCUUGCUUCUCUGAUGUUAGCGGCGGACGGGUGAGUAACACGUGGAUAACCUACCUAUAAGACUGGGAUAACUUCGGGAAACCGGAGCUAAUACCGGAUAAUAUUUUGAACCGCAUGGUUCAAAAGUGAAAGACGGUCUUGCUGUCACUUAUAGAUGGAUCCGCGCUGCAUUAGCUAGUUGGUAAGGUAACGGCUUACCAAGGCAACGAUGCAUAGCCGACCUGAGAGGGUGAUCGGCCACACUGGAACUGAGACACGGUCCAGACUCCUGCGGGAGGCAGCAGUAGGGAAUCUUCCGCAAUGGGCGAAAGCCUGGCGGAGCAACGCCGCGUGAGUGAUGAAGGUCUUCGGAUCGUAAAACUCUGUUAUUAGGGAAGAACAUAUGUGUAAGUAACUGUGCACAUCUUGACGGUACCUAAUCAGAAAGCCACGGCUAACUACGUG